rnacentral:rRNA from 1 species
CCUACGGGAGGCAGCAGUAGGGAAUUUUCCACAAUGGGCGAAAGCCUGAUGGAGCAACGCCGCGUGGGUGAAGAAGGUCUUCGGAUCGUAAAACCCUGUUGUUAGAGAAGAAAGAGCAGGAGAGUAACGGUUCACGUUUAGACGGUAUCUAACCAGAAAGCCACGGCUAACUACGUGCCAGCAGCCGCGGUAAUACGUAGGUGGCAAGCGUUAGCCGGAUUUAUUGGGCGUAAAGGGAACGCAGGAGGUCUUUUAAGUCUGAUGUGAAAGCCUUCGGCUUAACCGGAGUAGUUCAUUGGAAACUGGGAGCCUUGAGUGCAGCAGAGGCGAGUGGAACUCCAUGUGUAGCGGU